rnacentral:lncRNA from 1 species
AUUUUAUUUUAAACCUUACAUGUAAUUUAGAGAUGAUAAAAAAACAUGUCUACAAUGGAUUAUUUUUUAGCCUUAUCUUUAACAAGUAGAUAUUUCUAAAAACAUGGCGAGACAUAUUGUGUUAAGAGGUUAUCUCUUAAUUAAGAGAACACGAGUUUUUAUUAUGAUUUCUCUUUUUUCCACAUCAGCGUUUAUACUACAUGGCACUUCUAAAAUAGCAUCAUUCUACAUGUCAUUCUAAGACGAAAGGUGUAGUAGCUUGUAUGUUGGCUAGAUUGACAUGUUGUGUCAACAAGUGAAUAUUUGAGGGGUUCUAGACAGGGUCUGGCCCAUAUGGUGUGCUGAGUAUGCAGCCCUUGAAGACCCAAAUUUUCAUAGGCCUAGUAUGUGUAUAUUUUAUUUUAAAAUGCAGUUCCGCUGAACAGCUAGGCGAUGGCGUCCAUGACGCAUCGAGCUGCCAAGGCCGCUGCUCCCGAGUCUUGAUCCCUGCCCGUUGUCUAGCGAUCAUCACACCUAAUGCCACGCGCACAUGAUUCACAUUAACAGCAACAUCCGUCGCUCGACUCGGCGCAAUGUAGUAGAGAGAAAAAACGAAUUGUUGGGAGUCUUCGGAGGGAUGUCGAUUUAAGUGGGAGUUCAUACUUAAUAUGAUUAAAUAAACUUAAUUGUCAUGAACUUAGUCUAAAAAGGUUUGUCUGUAUAAAUAUUGUAGAUGGCCAACGUCAACCUCAAUUUGAACGCAUUUCUAGAGAAAAACAAGCUGAAAGAUGAUG